rnacentral:rRNA from 1 species
AGAACGAACGCUGGCGGCAGGCCUAACACAUGCAAGUCGAACGCUCCAGCAAUGGAGAGUGGCAGACGGGUGAGUAACGCGUGGGAACCUUCCCUAUGGUUCGGAAUAGCUCAGGGAAACUUGAGGUAAUACCGGAUAAGCCCUUCGGGGGAAAGAUUUAUCGCCAUUGGAUGGGCCCGCGUAGGAUUAGCUAGUUGGUGAGGUAACGGCUCACCAAGGCGACGAUCCUUAGCUGGUCUGAGAGGAUGAUCAGCCACACUGGGACUGAGACACGGCCCAGACUCCUACGGGAGGCAGCAGUGGGGAAUAUUGGACAAUGGGCGCAAGCCUGAUCCAGCCAUGCCGCGUGAGUGACGAAGGCCUUAGGGUUGUAAAGCUCUUUUGGCGGGGAAGAUAAUGACGGUACCGCAGAAUAAGCUCCGGCUAACUUCGUGCCAGCAGCCGC